AUUGAACGCUGGCGGCAGGCCUAACACAUGCAAGUCGAACGGUAACAGGAAGAAGCUUGCUUCUUUGCUGACGAGUGGCGGACGGGUGAGUAAUGUCUGGGAAACUGCCUGAUGGAGGGGGAUAACUACUGGAAACGGUAGCUAAUACCGCAUAACGUCGCAAGACCAAAGAGGGGGACCUUCGGGCCUCUUGCCAUCGGAUUUGCCCAGAUGGGAUUAGCUAGUAGGUGGGGUAACGGCUCACCUAGGCGACGAUCCCUAGCUGGUCUGAGAGGAUGACAAGCCACACUGGAACUGAGACACGGUCCAGACUCCUACGGGAGGCAGCAGUGGGGAAUAUUGCACAAUGGGCGCAAGCCUGAUGCAGCCAUGCCGCGUGUAUGAAGAAGGCCUUCGGGUUGUAAAGUACUUUCAGCGGGGAGGAAGGGAGUAAAGUUAAUACCUUUGCUCAUUGACGUUACCCGCAGAAGAAGCACCGGCUAACUCCGUG
rnacentral:rRNA from 1 species